ACGUAGGUCACAAGCGUUGUCCGGAAUUACUGGGUGUAAAGGGAGCGCAGGCGGGAAGACAAGUUGGAAGUGAAAUCCAUGGGCUCAACCCAUGAACUGCUUUCAAAACUGUUUUUCUUGAGUGGUGCAGAGGUAGGCGGAAUUCCCGGUGUAGCGGUGGAAUGCGUAGAUAUCGGGAGGAACACCAGUGGCGAAGGCGGCCUACUGGGCACCAACUGACGCUGAGGCUCGAAAGUGUGGGUAGCAAACAG
rnacentral:rRNA from 1 species